UACGAAGGGUGCAAGCGUUACUCGGAAUUAUUGGGCGUAAAGCGUCCGCAGGUGGCAAUGUAAGUCUGCUGUCAAAGCGUCUGGCUCAACCAGAUAAAGGCAGUGGAAACUACAUAGCUAGAGUAAGGUAGGGGUAGAGGGAAUUCCUGGUGUAGCGGUGAAAUGCGUAGAGAUCAGGAGGAACACCGGUGGCGAAGGCGGGUCUCUGGGCCGUAACUGACGCUGAGGAGCGAAAGCGUGGGGAGCGAACAGG
rnacentral:rRNA from 1 species